CGCAUCUGUGCAUGCAGCAUAUCAAUAAGCGGAGGAAAAGAAACUAACAAGGAUUCCCCUAGUAACGGCGAGUGAAGCGGGAAGAGCUCAAAUUUGAAAUCUUCAAGGUUUUACCUUGACGAAUUGUAGUUUAAAGAAGUGUUUUCUGCUGAAGUUUUGGUAAAAGUUCUUUGGAAUAGGACAUCAUAGAGGGUGAGAAUCCCGUAUUUGACCAUUAUUUUCAGCUUUGUGAUACACUUUCAAAGAGUCGGAUUGUUUGGGAAUGCAGUCCAAAAUGGGUGGUAAAUUUCAUCUAAAGCUAAAUAUUGGCGAGAGACCGAUAGCGAACAAGUACCGUGAGGGAAAGAUGAAAAGAACUUUGAAAAGGGAGUUAAACAGUACGUGAAAUUGUCAAAAGGGAAGCGUUUGACACCAGUGUUGUUUUUCUGAAAAUCAAUUAAAGAACUGUUUAUGCUAAGUUGUUUAGACUUUAUCAGCUAAUCUGCUUAGUUUUGAGCUUUUCUUUAAUGCACUUUUCAGUUAACAAGUCAACAUCAAUUUCUUUUGCUGUAAAAAAGCUUGAGGAAGGUGGCUUGAGAUUCGUCUUAAGUGUUUAUAGCCUCUUGCCUAUGCAGUCGGAGAGAUUGAGGUCUGCAGCGUAGAUCCUUCGGGGCUAAAUGCAUUUGUGCUAAGUUAUAGCAUUUUAUAGACAACUUGUUGACUAUGAUUUGUCUUGUAGCUUACUCGCUUAUGUUAUUUUACCUACGCUUAGGAUGUUGAUAGUCACAGCGUGUAC
rnacentral:rRNA from 1 species